GGUUAACGCUGGCGGCGUGCCUAACACAUGCAAGUCGAGCGAGGGCUCGUCUCCCGCAAGGGGGGCGGGUUCCUAGCGGCAAACGGGUGAGUAACACGUGGGCAACCUGUCCUUUCGUGGGGGAUAACACCGAGAAAUCGGUGCUAAUACCGCAUGAGGUCGUCGAGGGCAUCCUCGGCGAAGAAAGCAGAGAUGCGCGAGAGGGUGGGCCCGCGGCCUAUCAGCUAGUCGGUGGGGUAACGGCCUACCGAGGCAUUGACGGGUAGCUGGUCUGAGA
rnacentral:rRNA from 1 species